rnacentral:rRNA from 1 species
UGCCAGCAGUCGCGGUUACACCAGGAAAUUAAGUCAUAUCUAUCGGUAAAAAGACAGUUAGACAAUAAUAUAGGUCAUAGAAUUUUCAAUAUAGGGGUGCAAUCCGAGCAUUGAUAAAUAAUCUAGUUAUGACUAUUUAGUUGAAUCUGUGAUAGCUUUAAGGGAAACUGGGAUUUGAUACCCCAUUAUUUUUAGCUGUAAAUUCGAUUUUACAUAAUUUACCAGAGUACUACGAACAUAAGGUUUAAAACUCAAAGGGCUUGGCGGUGUUUUAGACCACUCAGGGGAACCUGUCUCAUAAUCGAUGAUCCACGUUAAACCUGACCUUUUUUUGCAUUCAGCUUGUAUACCGUCGUCGUCAGGUAACUUCUAAAAAACUAAAAGUUAGCGAAAGAAUUUAUAAAUUACAAUGUCAGAUCAGGGUGCAGCUUAUAAAAAGGGGAGGAUGGGUUACAAUUAUAAAUCUUAAUUACGGAAGACCGUUAGAAUUAACCGAUCUGAAGGAGGACUUGAAAGUAAUUUUAAAUAUAUAAAUUAUAUGAAUAAGGCUCUGAAAUGUGCACACAUCGCCCGCCACUCU